UACGUAGGGUCCAAGCGUUGUCCGGAUUUAUUGGGCGUAAAGAGCUCGUAGGCGGUUUCGUAAGUCGGAUGUGAAAACUCAGGGCUCAACCCGGAGACGCCAUCUGAUACUGCGAUGACUUGAGUCUGGUAGGGGAACACGGAAUUCCUGGUGUAGCGGUGAAAUGCGCAGAUAUCAGGAGGAACACCGAUGGCGAAGGCAGUGUUCUGGGCCAGUACUGACGCUGAGGAGCGAAGGCGUGGGGAGCAAACAGG
rnacentral:rRNA from 1 species